rnacentral:tRNA from 1 species
GCCUUCGUGGUGUAGUGGUCAGCACGUUUGACGUGUAUUCGAGAGGUUCAUGGUUCGAGUCCCGGCGAGGACA